AGAGCGAACGCUGGCGGCAGGCUUAACACAUGCAAGUCGAACGGAUCCUUCGGGAUUAGUGGCGGACGGGUGAGUAACACGUGGGAACGUGCCUUUGGUUCGGAACAACUCAGGGAAACUUGAGCUAAUACCGGAUGUGCCCUUCGGGGGAAAGAUUUAUCGCCAUUAGAGCGGCCCGCGUCUGAGUUAGCUAGUUGGUGAGGUAAAGGCCCACCAAGGCUACGAUCAGUAGCUGGUCUGAGAGGAUGACCAGCCACAUUGGGACUGAGACACGGCCCAAACUCCUACGGGAGGCAGCAGUGGGGAAUCUUGCGCAAUGGGCGAAAGCCUGACGCAGCCAUGCCGCGUGAAUGAUGAAGGUCUUAGGAUUGUAAAAUUCUUUCACCGGGGACGAUAAUGACGGUACCCGGAGAAGAAGCCCCGGCUAACUUCGCGCCAGCAGCCGC
rnacentral:rRNA from 1 species